rnacentral:rRNA from 1 species
GAUGAACGCUGGCGGCGUGCCUAAUACAUGCAAGUCGAGCGAACGGACGAGAAGCUUGCUUCUCUGAUGUUAGCGGCGGACGGGUGAGUAACACGUGGAUAACCUACCUAUAAGACUGGGAUAAUUUCGGGAAACCGGAGCUAAUACCGGAUAAUAUUUUGAACCGCAUGGUUCAAAAGUGAAAGACGGUCUUGCUGUCACUUAUAGAUGGAUCCGCGCUGCAUUAGCUAGUUGGUAAGGUAACGGCUUACCAAGGCAACGAUGCAUAGCCGACCUGAGAGGAUGAUCGGCCACACUGGAACUGAGACACGGUCCAGACUCCUACGGGAGGCAGCAGUAGGGAAUCUUCCGCAUUGGGUGCAAGCCUACCGGAGCAACGCCGCGUGAGUGAUGAAGGUCUUCGGAUCGUAAAACUCUGUUAUUAGGGAAGAACAUAUGUGUAAGUAACUGUGCACAUCUUGACGGUACCUAAUCAGAAAGCCACGGCUAACUACGUG